UACGAAGGGGGCUAGCGUUGCUCGGAAUUACUGGGCGUAAAGGGCGCGUAGGCGGAUAGUUUAGUCAGAGGGGAAAGCCCAGGGCUCAACCUUGGAAUUGCCUUUGAUACUGGCUAUCUUGAGUUCGGGAGAGGUGAGUGGAACUCCGAGUGUAGAGGUGAAAUUCGUAGAUAUUCGGAAGAACACCAGUGGCGAAGGCGACUCACUGGCCCGAUACUGACGCUGAGGCGCGAAAGCGUGGGGAGCAAACAGG
rnacentral:rRNA from 1 species